rfam:Talaromyces marneffei PM1 scf001, whole genome shotgun sequence.
GUCCGGCUGGCGCAAUGGUAGCGCAACAGGUUUCUAUUCUCUAGGAUACUCGUACCCUGUAGGUUGCGGGUUCGAUCCCCGUGUCGGAUU